rnacentral:lncRNA from 1 species
UGCGCGCACACACAGCGCACACACAAGCGUACACACAGCUAGCACACAGCAACUGCACACACACACAGCAAGCGCACAAGCACACACACACAGCAAGCAUGCACACACAGCUAGCACACACACAGCAAGCGCACACACAGCUAGCACACACACUAGGCGCACACACAGCACACACACACAGCUAGCACACACACACAGCAAGCGC